GACUCUCGGCAACGGAUAUCUCGGCUCUCGCAUCGAUGAAGAACGUAGCAAAAUGCGAUACUUGGUGUGAAUUGCAGAAUCCCGUGAACCAUCGAGUCUUUGAACGCAAGUUGCGCCCGAAGCCAUCCGGCAGAGGGCACGCCUGCCUGGGCGUCACGCAUCG
rnacentral:rRNA from 1 species